rnacentral:rRNA from 1 species
GAUGGACGCUAGCGGGAGGCCUAACACAUGCAAGCCGAGCGGUAUUGUUUCUUCGGAAAUGAGAGAGCGGCGUACGGGUGCGUAACACGUGUGCAACCUGCCUUUAUCUGGGGGAUAGCCUUUCGAAAGGAAGAUUAAUACUCCAUAAUAUAUUGAACGGCAUCGUUUAAUAUUGAAAGCUCCGGCGGAUAGAGAUGGGCACGCGCAAGAUUAGCUAGUUGGUGAGGUAACGGCUCACCAAGGCGAUGAUCUUUAGGGGGCCUGAGAGGGUGAUCCCCCACACUGGUACUGAGACACGGACCAGACUCCUACGGGAGGCAGCAGUGAGGAAUAUUGGUCAAUGGGUGCAAGCCUGAACCAGCCAUCCCGCGUGAAGGACGACUGCCCUAUGGGUUGUAAACUUCUUUUGUAUAGGGAUAAACCUACCCUCGAGAGGGUAGCUGAAGGUACUAUACGAAUAAGCACCGGCUAACUCCGUG